CCGGCGACCGGCGCACGGGUGCGUAACGCGUAUAGAAUCUGCCUUGUACUAGGGAAUAGCCCAGAGAAAUUUGGAUUAAUGCCCUAUAGUAUAUCGUUAUGGCAUCAUAACGAUAUUAAAGGUUACGGUACAAGAUGACUAUGCGUCCCAUUAGUUAGUUGGUGAGGUAACGGCUCACCAAGACUGCGAUGGGUAGGGGCCCUGAGAGGGGGAUCCCCCACACUGGUACUGAGACACGGACCAGACUCCUACGGGAGGCAGCAGUGAGGAAUAUUGGACAAUGGGCGGGAGCCUGAUCCAGCCAUGCCGCGUGCAGGAAGACGGUCCUAUGGAUUGUAAACUGCUUUUAUACGGGAAGAACCUGGGGCACGUGUGCCCUUCUGACGGUACCGUAAGAAUAAGGAUCGGCUAACUCCGUGCCAGCAGCCGCGGUAAUACGGAGGAUCCAAGCGUUAUCCGGAAUCAUUGGGUUUAAAGGGUCCGUAGGCGGGCCAUUAAGUCAGGGGUGAAAGUUUGCGGCUCAACCGUAAAAUUGCCCUUGAUACUGGUGGUCUUGAGUUAUAGUGAAGUGGCUAGAAUAUGUAGUGUAGCGGUGAAAUGCAUAGAUAUUACAUAGAAUACCGAUUGCGAAGGCAGGUCACUAACUAUACACUGACGCUGAUGGACGAAAGCGUGGGGAGCGAACAGGAUUAGAUACCCUGGUAGUCCACGCCGUAAACGAUGGAUACUAGCUGUUCGGGCGCAAGCCUGAGCGGCCAAGCGAAAGUGAUAAGUAUCCCACCUGGGGAGUACGUUCGCAAGAAUGAAACUCAAAGGAAUUGACG
rnacentral:rRNA from 1 species